CCUACGGGAGGCAGCAGUAAGGAAUAUUGGUCAAUGGAGGCAACUCUGAACCAGCCAUGCCGCGUGCAGGAAGACAGCCCUAUGGGUCGUAAACUGCUUUUAUACGGGAAUAAACUUUGAUUCGUGAAUCAAGCUGAAUGUACCGUAAGAAUAAGGAUCGGCUAACUCCGUGCCAGCAGCCGCGGUAAUACGGAGGAUCCAAGCGUUAUCCGGAUUUAUUGGGUUUAAAGGGAGCGUAGGCGGCCUAUUAAGUCAGGGGUGAAAGACGGUGGCUCAACCAUCGCAGUGCCUUUGAUACUGAUGGGCUUGAAUAUAGUUGAGGUAGGCGGAAUGUGACAAGUAGCGGUGAAAUGCAUAGAUAUGUCACAGAACACCGAUUGCGAAGGCAGCUUACUAAGCUAUGAUUGACGCUGAGGCUCGAAAGCGUGGGGAUCAAACAGGAUUAGAUACCCUGGUAGUCCACGCCCUAAACGAUGAUAACUCGAUGUUGGCGAUAUACUAGUCGAGCGUCCGAACGACGAAACGGACGGUUAACGUUUAACGUUAACCGUACCGUCGGGGUUAGGGUUACGGUCCCGGCCGAACGGGUAGGAACCGUUACGAACGGAAGUUAGGUUACGGCGGUUGGAGACGUUCGCCGACGGACGACCGACGAGGGAGGAGG
rnacentral:rRNA from 1 species